UCUGGUAUUGAUUGGUGCUUGCAUCAUGAUUUACAUUUGAGUGAGUGGCGAACUGGUGAGUAACACGUGGGAAACCUGCCCAGAAGCGGGGGAUAACACCUGGAAACAGAUGCUAAUACCGCAUAACAACUUGGACCGCAUGGUCCGAGUUUGAAAGAUGGCUUCGGCUAUCACUUUUGGAUGGUCCCGCGGCGUAUUAGCUAGAUGGUGGGGUAACGGCUCACCAUGGCAAUGAUACGUAGCCGACCUGAGAGGGUAAUCGGCCACAUUGGGACUGAGACACGGCCCAAACUCCUACGGGAGGCAGCAGUAGGGAAUCUUCCACAAUGGACGAAAGUCUGAUGGAGCAACGCCGCGUGAGUGAAGAAGGGUUUCGGCUCGUAAAACUCUGUUGUUAAAGAAGAACAUAUCUGAGAGUAACUGUUCAGGUAUUGACGGUAUUUAACCAGAAAGCCACGGCUAACUACGUGCCAGCAGCCGCGGUAAUACGUAGGUGGCAAGCGUUGUCCGGAUUUAUUGGGCGUAAAGCGAGCGCAGGCGGUUUUUUAAGUCUGAUGUGAAAGCCUUCGGCUCAA
rnacentral:rRNA from 1 species